rnacentral:rRNA from 1 species
UAAGGAAUAUUGGUCAAUGGACGCAAGUCUGAACCAGCCAUGCCGCGUGAAGGAUGAAGGUCCUCUGGAUUGUAAACUUCUUUUAUAGGGGAAGAAAUCUGAAUAUUCUUAUUCAGUUGACGGUACCCUAGGAAUAAGCACCGGCUAACUCCGUGCCAGCAGCCGCGGUAAUACGGAGGGUGCAAGCGUUAUCCGGAUUCACUGGGUUUAAAGGGUGCGUAGGAGGGCAGGGAAGUCAGUGGUGAAAUCUCCGGGCUUAACUCGGAAACUGCCGUUGAUACUCUCUGUCUUGAAUCCCGUGGAGGUGAGCGGAAUAUGUCAUGUAGCGGUGAAAUGCUUAGAUAUGACAUAGAACACCAAUUGCGAAGGCAGCUCGCUACACGAAGAUUGACUCUGAGGCACGAAAGCGUGGGGAUCAAACAGG